rnacentral:rRNA from 1 species
CUCUUAGAUGUUCUGGGCCGCACGCGCGCUACACUGAUUCAUUCAUCAAGUCUAUAACCUUGGUAGAAAUGCUUGGGUAAUCUUUGAAACUGAAUCGUGCUGGGGAUUGGAGCUUGUAAUUAUUCUCCAUGAACGAGGAAUUCCUAGUAAGCGCGAGUCAUCAGCUCGUGCUGAUUACGUCCCUGCCCUUUGUACACACCGCCCGUCGCUCCUACCGAUUGAAUGAUCCGGUGAAUAAUUCGGACUGCAGCAGUGUUCAGUUCCUGAACGUUGCAGCGGAAAGUUUAGUGAACCUUAUCACUUAGAGGAAGGAGAAGUCGUAACA